CAAUCUGCCUUGGAGUGGGGAAUAACGGUUGGAAACAGCCGCUAAUACCGCAUGAUGCGUCUGGGAGGCAUCUCUCUGGACGCCAAAGAUUUAUCGCUCUGAGAUGAGCUCGCGUCUGAUUAGCCAGUUGGCGGGGCAACGGCCCACCAAGGCGACGAUCAGUAGCCGGACUGAGAGGUUGGCCGGCCACAUUGGGACUGAGACACGGCCCAGACUCCUACGGAAGGCAGCAG
rnacentral:rRNA from 1 species